rnacentral:rRNA from 1 species
AUUGAACGCUGGCGGCAGGCUUAACACAUGCAAGUCGAGCGGGGUGAUGGUGCUUGCACUAUCACUUAGCGGCGGACGGGUGAGUAAUGCUUAGGAAUCUGCCUAUUAGUGGGGGACAACAUCUCGAAAGGGAUGCUAAUACCGCAUACGUCCUACGGGAGAAAGCAGGGGAUCACUUGUGACCUCGCGCUAAAAGAUGAGCCUAUGUUGGAUUAGCUAGUUGGUAGGGUAAAGGCCUACCAAGGCAACGAUCCAUAGCUGGUCUGAGAGGAUGAUCAGCCACACUGGGACUGAGACACGGCCCAGACUCCUACGGGAGGCAGCAGUGGGGAAUAUUGGACAAUGGGCGCAAGCCUGAUCCAGCAACGCCGUGUGUGUGAAGAAGGCCUUCGGGUUGUAAAGCACUUUUAGUUGGGAAGAAAAGCUCAAGACUAAUACCCUUGAGUGAUGACGUUACCAACAGAAAAAGCACUGGCUAACUCUGUGCCAGCAGCCGCCGUAA